rnacentral:rRNA from 1 species
CCUACGGGAGGCAGCAGUGGGGAAUAUUGCGCAAUGGGCGAAAGCCUGACGCAGCGACGCCGCGUGAGGGAUGAAGGUCUUCGGAUCGUAAACCUCUGUCAGCAGGGAAGAACGGUCACUGUGCUAAUCAGCAGUGAGUUGACGGUACCUGCAAAGGAAGCACCGGCUAACUCCGUACCAGCAGCCGCGGUAAUACGGAGGGUGCGAGCGUUAAUCGGAAUUACGGGGCGUAAAGCGCGCGUAGGCGGUAUGUCAAGUCAAGGGUGAAAUCCCGGGCUUAACUGGGGGGUUGCAUGGGAAACUGUAGAGCUUGAGUACAGGAGAGGCAAGCGGAAUUCCUAGUGUAGCGGUGAAAUGCAUAGAUAUUAGGAGGAACACCAGUGGCGAAGGCGGCUUGCUGGACUGAAACUGACGCUGAGGCUCGAAAGCGUGGGGAGCAAACAGGAUUAGAUACCCUUGUAGUC